rnacentral:rRNA from 1 species
UACGUAGGGUGCAAGCGUUGUCCGGAAUUAUUGGGCGUAAAGAGCUCGUAGGCGGUCUGUUGCGUCGGCUGUGAAAACCCGGGGCUCAACCCCGGGCCUGCAGCCGAUACGGGCAGACUAGAGUUCGGCAGGGGAGACUGGAAUUCCUGGUGUAGCGGUGAAAUGCGCAGAUAUCAGGAGGAACACCGGUGGCGAAGGCGGUUCUCUGGGCAUUACCUGACGCUGAGGAGCGAAAGUGUGGGGAGCGAACAGG